UACAGAGGGUGCGAGCGUUAAUCGGAAUUACUGGGCGUAAAGCGCGCGUAGGCGGCUUUGCAAGCCGGAUGUGAAAUCCCCGGGCUUAACCUGGGAACUGCAUUCGGGACUGCAUUGCUAGAGUAUGGGAGAGGGAAGUGGAAUUUCAGGUGUAGCGGUGAAAUGCGUAGAUAUCUGAAGGAACAUCAGUGGCGAAAGCGACUUCCUGGACCAAUACUGACGCUCAGGUGCGAAAGCGUGGGGAGCAAACAGG
rnacentral:rRNA from 1 species